UACGGAGGGUGCAAGCGUUAUCCGGAUUUACUGGGUUUAAAGGGUGUGUAGGCGGGUCUUUAAGUCAGGGGUGAAAUCUCCGAGCUCAACUUGGAAACUGCCAUUGAUACUAUUGAUCUUGAAUUCUGUUGAGGUUGGCGGAAUAAGUCAUGUAGCGGUGAAAUGCAUAGAUAUGACUUAGAACACCGAUUGCGAAGGCAGCUCGCUGGGACGUUACUGACGCUGAGACGCGAAAGCGUGGGGAGCAAACAGG
rnacentral:rRNA from 1 species